rnacentral:rRNA from 1 species
UCCUGCCAGUAGUCAUAUGCUUGUCUCAAAGAUUAAGCCAUGCAUGUCUAAGUAUAAGCAACUUAUACCGUGAAACUGCGAAUGGCUCAUUAUAUCAGUUAUAGUUUAUUUGAUAGUCCCUACUACUUGGAUAACCGUAGUAAUUCUAGAGCUAAUACAUGCACCAAAUCCCGACUUCUGGAAGGGAUGUAUUUAUUAGAUUUUAAACCAACGCCUUAGCUUCGGCGGGCUUUUGGUGAGUCAUGAUAACUUGUCGGAUCGCAUGCCUUUUGAGCGGCGAUGAAUCAUUCAAGUUUCUGCCCUAUCAGCUUUCGAUGGUAGGGUAUUGGCCUACCAUGGCAUUAACGGGUAACGGAGAAUUAGGGUUCGAUUCCGGAGAGGGAGCCUGAGAAACGGCUACCACAUCUACGGAAGGCAGCAGGCGCGUAAAUUACCCAAUCCUGACAUAGGGAGGUAGUGACAAUAAAUAACAAUACGGGGCUUUCAAAGUCUUGUAAUUGGAAUGAGGAAGAUGUAAAAUUCCUUCCGAGGAUCAAUUGGAGGGCAAGUCUGGUGCCAGCAGCCGCGGUAAUUCCAGCUCCAAUAGCGUAUAUUAAAGUUGUUGCGGUUAAAAAGCUCGUAGUUGGAU